rnacentral:rRNA from 1 species
AGUAACACGUGAGCAACCUGCCUCUCAGAGGGGGAUAACGUUUGGAAACGAACGCUAAUACCGCAUGAAAUAUUGGUAUCGCAUGGUGCUGAUAUCAAAGGAGCAAUCCGCUGAGAGAUGGGCUCGCGUCCGAUUAGAUAGUUGGCGGGGCAACGGCCCACCAAGUCGACGAUCGGUAGCCGGACUGAGAGGUUGAACGGCCACAUUGGGACUGAGACACGGCCCAGACUCCUACGGGAGGCAGCAG